rnacentral:rRNA from 1 species
UACGGAGGAUCCGAGCGUUAUCCGGAUUUAUUGGGUUUAAAGGGUGCGUAGGCGGCUUGAUAAGUUAGAGGUGAAAUUUCGGUGCUUAACAUCGAAACUGCCUCUGAUACUGUCGAGCUAGAGAAUAGUUGCAGAAGGCGGAAUGAGUAGUGUAGCGGUGAAAUGCUUAGAUAUUACUCAGAACACCGAUUGCGAAGGCAGCUUUCUAAGCUAUAUCUGACGCUGAGGCACGAAAGCGUGGGGAGCAAACAGG